rnacentral:rRNA from 1 species
AUUGAACGCUGGCGGAAUGCUUUACACAUGCAAGUCGAACGGUAGAGGGGGCAACCCCUUGAGAGUGGCGAACGGGUGAGUAAUAUAUCGGAACGUGCCCAGUCGUGGGGAUAACGUAGCGAAAGUUACGCUAAUACCGCAUACGAUCUAAGGAUGAAAGCGGGGGAUCGCAAGACCUCGCGCGAUUGGAGCGGCCGAUAUCAGAUUAGGUAGUUGGUGAGGUAAAGGCUCACCAAGCCAACGAUCUGUAGCUGGUCUGAGAGGACGACCAGCCACACUGGAACUGAGACACGGCCCAGACUCCUACGGAGGCAGCAGUGGGGAAUUUUGGACAAUGGGCGCAAGCCUGAUCCAGCAAUGCCGCGUGCAGGAUGAAGGCCUUCGGGUUUGGUAAACGUUAGCUUUUGUUACGGUAACGAAA